GCGAGUCAUUGUAGCAAUACAAGGCAGACGGCUCAGUAACGCGUAGUCAAUCUACCCUAUGGACGGGAAUAACCUCGGGAAACUGAGAAUAAUGCCCGACAGAACAUUAUACCUGGAACGGUUUAUGUUUCAAAUGAUUUAUCGCCGUAGGAUGGGACUGCGGCCUAUCAGUUUGUUGGUGAGGUAAUGGCCCACCAAGACUAUUACAGGUACGGGCUCUGAGAGGAGUAGCCCGGAGAUGGGUACUGAGACGCGGACCCAGGCCCUAUGGGGCGCAGCAGGCGAGAAAACUUUGCAAUGUGCGAAAGCACGACAAGGUUAAUCCGAGUGGUUUCUGCUAAAGAAACCUUUUGCUAGUCCUAGAAACACUAGUGAAUAAGGGGUGGGCAAGUUCUGGUGUCAGCCGCCGCGGUAAACCAGCACCUCAAGUGGUCAGGAUGAUUAUUGGGCCUAAAGCAUCCGUAGCUCGUUUUGUAAGUUUUCGGUUAAAUCCAUACGCUUAACGUAUGGGCUGCCGGGAAUACUGCAUAACUAGGAAGUGGGAGAGGUAGACGGUACUCGGUAGGAAGGGGUAAAAUCCUUUGAUCUAUUGAUGACCACCUGUGGCGAAGGCGGUCUACCAGAACACGUUCGACGGUGAGGGAUGAAAGCUGGGGGAGCAAACCGGAUUAGAUACCCGGGUAGUCCCAGCUGUAAACUAUGCAAACUCAGUGAUGCAUUGGCUUGUGGCCAAUGCAGUGCUGCAGGGAAGCCGUUAAGUUUGCCGCCUGGGAAGUACGUACGCAAGUAUGAAACUUAAAGGAAUUGGCGGGGGAGCACCACAAGGGGUGAAGCCUGCGGU
rnacentral:rRNA from 1 species